rnacentral:rRNA from 1 species
GACGAACGCUGGCGGCGUGCUUAACACAUGCAAGUCGAACGGUGAAGCCCAGCUUGCUGGAGUGGAUCAGUGGCGAACGGGUGAGUAACACGUGAGCAACCUGCCCCUGACUCUGGAAUAAGCGCUGGAAACGGCGUCUAAUACUGGAUACGAGAAGGGUCCGCAUGGGCACUUUCUGGAAAGUUUUUCGGUUGGGGAUGGGCUCGCGGCCUAUCAGCUUGUUGGUGAGGUAAUGGCUCACCAAGGCGACGACGGGUAGCCGGCCUGAGAGGGCGACCGGCCACACUGGGACUGAGACACGGCCCAGACUCCUACGGGAGGCAGCAGUGGGGAAUAUUGCACAAUGGGCGAAAGCCUGAUGCAGCGACGCCGCGUGAGGGAUGACGGCCUUCGGGUUGUAAACCUCUUUCAGCAGGGAAGAAGCGAAAGUGACGGUACCUGCAGAAGAAGCACCGGCUAACUACGUG